AUGAAGAGCAAUUUUGUGGUUGAAAAUGAAAAUGUCUUUUCCCAACUGUGAUCAGCUCUUCUGACCUGGCAGAAAUGACUUCAAGCCUGUGUGGUUCAGGCCUUGAAAUCUUCUGCCUUUAAAACAAUUUCUGCUCAAGAGGACACUCUCUGGAAGUUAUGAUGCAUCACAAGUCCUAGUCUACAUUUUCUGCUCGAUCUUACCUUGCUUUCUUGCCUAUGCGACUUCUUACUAGAGUAUCAUAAAUUGUCUUUUAUCCCAAGGCUUCCCAAGAGGAAACAUACUAUCCGAGGAUGUGACUUUGGGCCAUUUCAGGAUGUACAGGAGAGUACUUCAAGCCCACAUGUACCAAGGAGAGUCAUAGAAACCAGCCAGCCCCCACGAAGAGGGAAUUCAUUCUGAGAAGACUCGGAGGAAACACGAUCUUGGCUAAUGACAGAGGAAAAGACUGAGUGCGGACUUGGUGCCCAGUGAGAAAUGGAUGGAAGGUAAUUCUGGAGAAGUCAUAAGUGCAAGCAGACAAAAGAAGCAAGGCAGAGAGACAACUAGAAAGAGAGAGGUGGAUGAGAGCUGCCAGAAAUGAAGUCUUAGCAGAACAGAAUCUGGAAGCCAAGGACGUUUUCCAAGAGAAAAGAAUCCGCAGAAAACAGCCAGGGUCGCCCAGAGGUUCCAAAGUGGAUAGUGAAUCGAAAAUCCUGGAAGGUAUCAUGAGGCUAAGAAAAAGGUAGAUGUACUGAUUUAAUGAAUGCAUUUAUAUGAUGAUGGACAAGUUAGCAUCCAGGUUCCACUGUCCAGUGUUUCUGGGAAGGGGAGUGGGGAGGAGGAUUCUGGCAGCUUGUACCUACUAUUUCUGUGCCAUCUGGGGCCACUUUAGCAGGGGAGUGGGGAAGGACUGGGUCUGCAUUAGGAAAUGGAUCACUAGUCUUGCUUUGAACUCUUGUUCACCACUACUUUAUGUGUCAGCCUGUCUUUGUAUUGGUAGCAGGAAAAAGAAAUAGAGAAACAUAAGACUGGCCUUAAGGUUCUAAAACAAAGCUCUGCUCUGUUGAUAGCUGGUGUGGCUUUUCAAAGGCAAAGCAAGUGGGGACAUUGAAAUUC